rnacentral:rRNA from 1 species
GACGGAGGGGGCUAGCGUUGUUCGGAAUGACUGGGCGUAAAGGGCGCGUAGGCGGUCUAUUAAGUGAGGCGUGAAAGCCCUGGGCUUAACCCAGGAGGUGCGUUUCAUACUGGUAGACUUGAGUACGAGAGAGGAAAGCGGAAUUCCUAGUGUAGAGGUGAAAUUCGUAGAUAUUAGGAAGAACACCAGAGGCGAAGGCGGCUUUCUGGCUCGUAACUGACGCUGAGGCGCGAAAGCGUGGGGAGCAAACAGGAUUAGAUACCCUGGUAGUCCACGCUGUAAACGAUGAGUGCUAGACGUUGGGAAGCAAUUUUCAGUGUCGCAGCUAACGCAUUAAGCACUCCGCCUGGGGAGUACGGUCGCAAGAUUAAA